CGCCGGAGAGACUGAAGUACUGUUGGAUAAACUAAAUGAAUUAUAGGUGGCAAUAUCUCCCAAAUAAACUGUCAAAUGAGCGGUAGUUUGUGAGAAGGCUUUAAUUUGGCGUUAGCUACUUGCGCUAUGUUUGGAAAUUUGUAUUAAAUCUGUAGUUAGCAUGUAGCUUCGGCUAGCAUCCGUCGCUAAGCUCACUAUUGACACAAAUGGUGAUAAAAAUUACAUUAUAAGGUGUUUGAAAUGAUAGUGGCUAAACGGGCGUUGUAAGGAAAAUCCUUCCAACCACAACGUGUCUGCUGGGAGGACAUUCCUCACUUCGACGGGGGGGGGGGGUGUUACCGUGUGCGCGUGUGCGCGUGCGCGUGUGUGAGUGUGUUUUCUGGCCAUGCUGACUUAAUGGGGACAUCGCUCUGUUUACACAGUCACCUUUAGGGGACCUCUGACGGUAUGGGGACAAAAUAACAGGUCCCCUAAGGGGAAAAUGUUUGUAUUUUAUUUCUGUGGUUUAAGAUAAGAUUUUUUUUUAUUGCUCCCACAACAGGGAAACUUGGGUUACUUUGUUUACAUGUUUCAAGUAUUGGUAAAAGAGAAAAUAAAUGUUCUUGAAAAGUGAAACAUUAAUAGUACUGUGAUUUUCUAUGGUAUCCAGCCUUAGUUCAAACUAAUAUAGAAAACAACAUCUGGUUUAGUGUUCCUUAGGAUGACAUUUUCAUACAGCAUAAUUAUAAAACAUUAUUCCCUUAAAGUAUGAUUUACAUUCAGAAUGUUCCAACCUUGGAGUUGCAGACAACCUCAUUACGGCUAAAUAGCACUUUUCAGUCAUGUCACAGAAGAUGCAGGAUUUGUUUUGACAUUGAAGUGAUGAAACUUGCUAUAAGAGGACAGCUGGAUUCUGAGGAUCAUGUCAUAUUUCAUUUCAACUUUUGUUUUUUUUAAAUGGUCCUCAGUAGUCAGUACACAUUUGUGUGAAUUAUGCAAAAUUAUUGAAAUGUGGUCACCAUGAACCAUAUUAACUCUUUCCCCAAAUGCCAUGUAUGUUUGUAGCACUGCUUAAUAACUGUUAAUAAAUAGUUUUGGUCCA